rnacentral:rRNA from 1 species
GGAGAGGGCUAGCGUUAUUCGGAAUUAUUGGGCGUAAAGGGCGCGUAGGCGGAUUAGUAAGUUAAAAGUGAAAUCCCAAGGCUCAACCUUGGAAUUGCUUUUAAAACUGCUAAUCUAGAGAUUGAAAGAGGAUAGAGGAAUUCCUAGUGUAGAGGUGAAAUUCGUAAAUAUUAGGAGGAACACCAGUGGCGAAGGCGUCUAUCUGGUUCAAAUCUGACGCUGAGGCGCGAAGGCGUGGGGAGCAAACAGGAUUAGAUACCCUGGUAGUCCACGCUGUAAACGAUGAAUGUUAAAUAUGGGGAGUUUACUUUCUGUAUUACAGCUAACGCGUUAAACAUUCCGCCUGGGGACUACGGUCGCAAGAUUAAAACUCAAAGGAAUUGACGGGGACCCGCGCAAGCGGUGGAGCAUGUGGUUUAAUUCGAUGCAACGCGAAAAACCUUACCACUCCUUGACAUGGAAAUUAUACCUAUUCGAAGGGAUAGGGUCGGUUCGGCCGGGUUUCACACAGGUGU